GGGGGUUGGUUUAGUACGUAGGCGUUAUGGAUGGUGAAUCGUGCAUGCUACUGGUAUGGUCCGGUAGUACCUUUGGAAGAUUUCUACCUCC
rfam:Glossina brevipalpis unplaced genomic scaffold Scaffold194, whole genome shotgun sequence.